rnacentral:rRNA from 1 species
UACAGAGGGGGCAAGCGUUGUUCGGAAUUACUGGGCGUAAAGGGCGCGUAGGCGGCCUGCUAAGUCGAACGUGAAAUCCCCGGGCUCAACCCGGGAACUGCGUCCGAUACUGGCAGGUUUGAAUUCGGGAGAGGGAUGCGGAAUUCCAGGUGUAGCGGUGAAAUGCGUAGAUAUCUGGAGGAACACCGGUGGCGAAGGCGGCAUCCUGGACCGAAAUUGACGCUGAGGCGCGAAAGCCAGGGGAGCAAACGGG